AUCCAGCUGAUCAGUCCCAAAUAGAACGAAAUGCACGUCCUGUAU
rnacentral:hammerhead_ribozyme from 1 species